AUUGAACGCUGGCGGCAUGCUUUACACAUGCAAGUCGAACGGUAACAGGUUAAGCUGACGAGUGGCGAACGGGUGAGUAAUGCAUCGGAACGUGCCCGAUCGUGGGGGAUAACGCAGCGAAAGCUGCGCUAAUACCGCAUACGAUCUGAGGAUGAAAGCGGGGGACCGUAAGGCCUCGCGCGAUCGGAGCGGCCGAUGUCAGAUUAGGUAGUUGGUGGGGUAAAGGCUCACCAAGCCAACGAUCUGUAGCUGGUCUGAGAGGACGACCAGCCACAAUGGGACUGAGACACGGCCCAGACUCCUACGGGAGGCAGCAGUGGGGAAUUUUGUACAAGGGGCGAAAGCCUGAUUCAGCAAUGCCGCGUGCAGGAAGAAGGCCUUCGGGUUGUAAACUGCUUUUGUACGGAGCGAAAAGGUCUCCUCUAAUACAGGGGGCUCAUGACGGUACCGUAAGAAUAAGCACCGGCUAACUACGUGCCAGCAGCCGCAGUAA
rnacentral:rRNA from 1 species